AGAGUUUGAUCCUGGCUCAGGACGAACGCUGGCGGCGUGCCUAAUACAUGCAAGUAGAACGCUGAAGAGAGGAGCUUGCUCUUCUUGGAUGAGUUGCGAACGGGUGAGUAACGCGUAGGUAACCUGCCUUGUAGCGGGGGAUAACUAUUGGAAACGAUAGCUAAUACCGCAUAACAAUGGGUGACACAUGUCAUUUAUUUGAAAGGGGCAAUUGCUCCACUACAAGAUGGACCUGCGUUGUAUUAGCUAGUAGGUGAGGUAACGGCUCACCUAGGCGACGAUACAUAGCCGACCUGAGAGGGUGAUCGGCCACACUGGGACUGAGACACGGCCCAGACUCCUACGGGAGGCAGCAGUAGGGAAUCUUCGGCAAUGGACGAAAGUCUGACCGAGCAACGCCGCGUGAGUGAAGAAGGUUUUCGGAUCGUAAAGCUCUGUUGUAAGAGAAGAACGAGUGUGAGAGUGGAAAGUUCACACUGUGACGGUAUCUUACCAGAAAGGGACGGCUAACUACGUGCCAGCAGCCGCGGUAAUACGUAGGUCCCGAGCGUUGUCCGGAUUUAUUGGGCGUAAAGCGAGCGCAGGCGGUUUGAUAAGUCUGAAGUUAAAGGCUGUGGCUCAACCAUAGUUCGCUUUGGAAACUGUCAAACUUGAGUGCAGAAGGGGAGAGUGGAAUUCCAUGUGUAGCGGUGAAAUGCGUAGAUAUAUGGAGGAACACCGGUGGCGAAAGCGGCUCUCUGGUCUGUAACUGACGCUGAGGCUCGAAAGCGUGGGGAGCAAACAGGAUUAGAUACCCUGGUAGUCCACGCCGUAAACGAUGAGUGCUAGGUGUUGGGUCCUUUCCGGGACUCAGUGCCGCAGCUAACGCAUUAAGCACUCCGCCUGGGGAGUACGACCGCAAGGUUGAAACUCAAAGGAAUUGACGGGGGCCCGCACAAGCGGUGGAGCAUGUGGUUUA
rnacentral:rRNA from 1 species